rnacentral:rRNA from 1 species
UACGUAGGCAGCAAGCGUUGUUCGGAAUUACUGGGCGUAAAGAGUGUGUAGGCGGUGCUCUAAGUUCGGUGUGAAAUCUCCCGGCUUAACUGGGAGGGUGCGCCGGAAACUGGAGUGCUCGAGCGUGGGAGAGGAAAGCGGAAUUCCUGGUGUAGCGGUGAAAUGCGUAGAUAUCAGGAGGAACACCUGUGGUGUAGACAGCUUUCUGGACCAUAGCUGACGCUGAGGCACGAAAGUGUGGGGAUCAAACAGG